rnacentral:rRNA from 1 species
AUUGAACGCUGGCGGCAGGCCUAACACAUGCAAGUCGAGCGGAUGAAGGGAGCUUGCUCCUGGAUUCAGCGGCGGACGGGUGAGUAAUGCCUAGGAAUCUGCCUGGUAGUGGGGGAUAACGUCCGGAAACGGGCGCUAAUACCGCAUACGUCCUGAGGGAGAAAGUGGGGGAUCUUCGGACCUCACGCUAUCAGAUGAGCCUAGGUCGGAUUAGCUAGUUGGUGGGGUAAAGGCCUACCAAGGCGACGAUCCGUAACUGGUCUGAGAGGAUGAUCAGUCAAAAGGGAAAGGGAAAACGGGCCAGAUCCCAAGGGGAGGCAGAGGGGGGGAAAUUGGGAAAAGGGGGGAAAGCCUGACCCAGCCAGGCGGGGGGGGUGAAGAAGGGCUUCGGUUGGAAAAGCACUUUAAGGGGGGAGGAAGGGAAGGAAGUUAAAACCUUGCUGUUUGGACGUUACAAACAAAAAAAACACCGGCAAAAUUGGU